UACGUAGGGUGCGAGCGUUGUCCGGAAUUAUUGGGCGUAAAGGGCUCGUAGGCGGUUUGUCGCGUCGGGAGUGAAAACUCAGGGCUUAACCCUGAGCCUGCUUCCGAUACGGGCAGACUAGAGGUAUGCAGGGGAGAACGGAAUCCCUGGUGUAGCGGUGAAAUGCGCAGAUAUCAGGAGGAACACCGGUGGCGAAGGCGGUUCUCUGGGCAGUAACUGACGCUGAGGAGCGAAAGCGUGGGGAGCGAACAGG
rnacentral:rRNA from 1 species